rnacentral:rRNA from 1 species
UACGAAGGGGCGUAGCGUUGCUCGGAAUCACUGGGCGUAAAGCGCACGUAGGCGGCUUUCUAAGUCAGGGGUGAAAUCCUGGAGCUCAACUCCAGAACUGCCUUUGAUACUGGGAAGCUCGAGUCCGGAAGAGGUGAGUGGAACUGCGAGUGUAGAGGUGAAAUUCGUAGAUAUUCGCAAGAACACCAGUGGCGAAGGCGGCUCACUGGUCCGGUACUGACGCUGAGGUGCG